UACGGGGGGGGCAAGCGUUGUUCGGAAUUACUGGGCGUAAAGCGUGCGCAGGCGGUUUGCUAAGACAGGUGUGAAAUCCCCGGGCUUAACCUGGGAACUGCGCUUGUAACUGGCAAGCUAGAGUGUGGCAGAGGGGGGGUGGAAUUCCACGUGUGAGCAGUGAAAUGCGUAGAGAGUGUGGAGGAACACCGAUGGCGAAGGCAGCCCCCUGGGCUAACACUGACGCUCAUGCACGAAAGCGUGGGGAGC
rnacentral:rRNA from 1 species